AUAGUAAUUAUUAAAUAAUUAUUAUUUUCUCAUUUUUAUUUCCCCCGAUUUGACAGUAAUCACAAAUACAGAGAAUCUCGAUUUGUCUGUUGAUAGUCCCUUUGGCUUAGACUUCAGCGCUAUACCGGAUUUUAAUAAUAUUUUGGAAUUGGCGCCAGAUUAUGCCACAAAAAUGGAUGAUGCGACGGCUGAUGUUAUUCUACGGGAUAUAUUGAACAAACCUGAUUAUUGUCACAACACAUCUAUACAGAACAGCAAUGUUGUUGAUGAGCAACCGUUUUUCCCACACGCGACAGGGGGUCGUGCUAAAACAUUCGAAUAUAAAGCAGGUAUUACAGAUGAGGCUGUAGCAAUGCGUUAUGCGCCGACGAUACCAUCAGGAUGUGAUUCAGUAGCGCAAAUACACCGUCUUAGUACAAGCGGGAAAAUAUCAAAACGCACAACCGCCGCUGAAACGGAAAGCCAUCAAUUCGCAGCAGCAGGUGUGUAAUCAAACGCUGUUAUAUGGUAUAUUGUUAUGCGGUGAUUUAAAUACUGAUUUACAU